CCUACGGGAGGCAGCAGUAGGGAAUAUUGCACAAUGGGGGAAACCCUGAAGCAGCAACGCCGCGUGAGUGAUGAAGUAAUUCGGAAUGUAAACUUCUAUUGGUAGAGAAGAAAAUGACGGUACCUAAGGAAUAAGCACCGGCUAACUACGUGCCAGCAGCCGCGGUAAUACGGAGGGUGCAAGCGUUACGCGGAUUCACUGGGCGUAAAGAGCGCGUAGGCGGGGUAGCAAGUCAGAUGUGAAAUCCUAUGGCUUAACCAUAGAACUGCAUUUGAAACUGUUAAUCUAGAGUAUGGGAGGGGUAGGUGGAAUUCUUGGUGUAGGGGUGAAAUGCGUAGAGAUCAAGAGGAAUACUCAUUGCGAAGGCGACCUGCUAGACCAUAACUGACGUUGAUGCGCGAAAGCGUGGGGAGCAAACAGGAUUAGAUACCCUUGUAGUC
rnacentral:rRNA from 1 species